rnacentral:rRNA from 1 species
UACAGAGGGUGCAAACGUUGCUCGGAAUUAUUGGGCGUAAAGCGCGUGCAGGCGGCUUGUUAAGUCGGUUGUGAAAACCCAUGGCUCAACCAUGGAAGGGCGUCCGAAACUGGCAAGCUAGAGUCCCGACGAGGAUGGCGGAAUUCCCAGUGUAGAGGUGAAAUUCGUAGAUAUUGGGAGGAACACCGGUGGCGAAGGCGGCCAUCUGGGAGGGCACUGACGCUGAGACGCGAAAGCGUGGGGAGCAAACAGG